CAAUAAGCGGAGGAAAAGAAACCAACAGGGAUUCCCUUAGUAACGGCGAGCGAAAAGGGAUGAGCCCAGCAUGUAAAUCUCCGGUUUCCGGCGAAUUGUAGUCUGGAGUAGCAACUCCUGGUGCCGUGCCGACCCAAGCAUCUUGGAAUAGAUCGCCUCAGAGGGUGAGAGCCCCGUAGGUCGGUACGAGCUCCUACACGGAGUGCUCACGCAGAGUCGGGUUGUUUGGGAAUGCAGCCCCAAUUGGGUGGUAAACCCCAUCUAAGGCUAAAUACCUGUGGGAGACCGAUAGCAAAAAAGUACCUCGAGGGAACGAUGAAAAGACCGCUGGCAAGCGAGUGAAAGAGUGCAUGAAAUUGUAUAGUGGGAAGGGAUGGCCUGGCGUAUUGCCCGCGGGUAUACACUGCUCUUUGAGCUCUUGAAUACACCGUGGGCUGGCUGGUGCCGAUACCUGCGCUUGCAAAUCCCCAAACUAAGGUGUUUGGCUCUUCAAGCGCGGGUGUUGAGGUUGAUCGUCGCUCU
rnacentral:rRNA from 1 species